GGUGCUGGGACCUCGCCAGCUUUGAGUUCUGGACACCCGGCCCCCAGCAGGGCCUGGUGGGGAGACACUCAGAGCUCUCAGCUCGCUCAGCGGGGUGCGUUAAGCCCUGAAACCUGUCUUAGAUCCAGCUUUCAUCUUCACUGCCUGGGAGGCAGGGGUGGCACCUGCUGUUUCUGCACUCGCGUCUCCCCUGUGCUGAUUUCAGGAAGGAAGUGCCCAGCGUCCAUCCUCACAAGCAGUAAGGAAACUGUCCACGACCCGAAACUCUACACAUUGCUCUGGGCCUGCGGGCUGCGGCCUUUAUUUGAAGCCAUCAGCGGUGCCUUGUGGGCCGCCUGCUCUGGAAGCGUAGAUCUCUUUUUCCUAGGCAGUAAAACUGUGUCCGUAGUCUUUUUUUAUUUGGUAAGCAUGAUGUGAUUAAAUACAGUUUGUGGGUAAAAUUAUUAUAAGUUGGCAUUUGUACUUUAAAUGGGUUUGUAUUAAGAAACUGAAGUUAAAGAAAUAUACUCCUGGGAACCUGGGGAGCAUCCCGCCUCCCUGCAUCUGGAACCUGAGCUGCGACAAGAUAGGAAACAUAAAC
rnacentral:lncRNA from 1 species